GCAUUGGAAGUUCAGUGGUAGAAUUCUCGCCUGCCAUGCAGGAGACCCGUGUCCGAUUCCUGGCCAUUGCA
rnacentral:tRNA from 1 species